rnacentral:rRNA from 1 species
GACGAACGCUGGCGGCGUGCUUAACACAUGCAAGUCGAGCGGUAAGGCCCUUUCGGGGGUACGACGAGCGGCGAACGGGUGAGUAACACGUGGGUGACCUGCCCUCAGCUCUGGGAUAAGCCUGGGAAACUGGGUCUAAUACUGGAUAUGACUCCACGGUGCAUGUCGUGGGGUGGAAAGCCUUGUGCGGCUGAGGAUGGGCCCGCGGCCUAUCAGCUUGUUGGUGGGGUGAGGCCUACCAAGGCGACGACGGGUAGCCGGCCUGAGAGGGCGACCGGCCACACUGGGACUGAGACACGGCCCACGACUCCUACGGGAGGGCAGCGGUGGGGAAUCUUGCGCAAUGGGCGAAAGCCUGACGCAGCGACGCCGCGUGAGGGAUGACGGCC